GAAAAAUAGGGGGAGGGAUCUACCACCGGGAUGUUCAUAACCCUUUGUUGUCCGACUCUGUUGCCUCCGGGGCGACCCUGCCUUCGGGCGGGGGCUCCGGGUGGACACUUCAAACUCUUGCGUAACUUUGCAGUCUGAGUAAACUUAAUUAAUAAAUUAAAACUUUUAACAACGGAUCUCUUGGUUCUGGCAUCGAUGAAGAACGCAGCGAAAUGCGAUAAGUAAUGUGAAUUGCAGAAUUCAGUGAAUCAUCGAAUCUUUGAACGCACAUUGCGCCCCCUGGUAUUCCGGGGGGCAUGCCUGUUCGAGCGUCAUUUCACCACUCAAGCCUCGCUUGGUAUUGGGCAACGCGGUCCGCCGCGUGCCUCAAAUCGACCGGCUGGGUCUUCUGUCCCCUAAGCGUUGUGGAAACUAUUCGCUAAAGGGUGCUCGGGAGGCUACGCCGUAAAACAAACCCAUUUCUAAGGUUGACCUCGGAUCAGGUAGGGAUACCCGCUGAACUUAAGCAUAUCAAUAAGCGGAGGAA
rnacentral:rRNA from 1 species